rnacentral:ncRNA from 2 species
AUUGAAUAGAGGUAAAACGGUGCCUGAACUGUCCGGCUGGUAAAGCCGGCAGUGUCAGGAUAAUAGGGAAAUGAGUGAGAGUCUCAUACGGUCCCGCCGCUGUAAUGGAGGAAUCCUGUCUUAUGAUACCACUGCAUGGAGUUUUAUGUAAACUGAUGUGGGAAGGUGGACAGGGUGAGGAUACCUGAGUCAGAAGACCUGCCUUUUACCGGAGAUAUUC